GAUCCUGGCUCAGGAUGAACGCUAGCUACAGGCUUAACACAUGCAAGUCGAGGGGCAGCAUUUCAGUUUGCUUGCAAACUGGAGAUGGCGACCGGCGCACGGGUGAGUAACACGUAUCCAACCUGCCGAUAACUCGGGGAUAGCCUUUCGAAAGAAAGAUUAAUACCCGAUGGUAUAAUUAGACCGCAUGGUACUUGUUAUUAAAGAAUUUCGGUUAUCGAUGGGGAUGCGUUCCAUUAGGCAGUUGG
rnacentral:rRNA from 1 species